AUUGAACGCUGGCGGCAUGCUUUACACUUGCAAGUCGAACGGUAACAGGCCGCAAGGUGCUGACGAGUGGCGAACGGGUGAGUAAUGCAUCGGAACGUGCCCAGUCGUGGGGGAUAACGCAGCGAAAGCUGCGCUAAUACCGCAUACGAUCUAUGGAUGAAAGCGGGGGACCGUAAGGCCUCGCGCGAUUGGAGCGGCCGAUGUCAGAUUAGGUAGUUGGUGGGGUAAAGGCUCACCAAGCCAACGAUCUGUAGCUGGUCUGAGAGGACGACCAGCCACACUGGGACUGAGAUACGGCCCAGACUCCUACGGGAGGCGGCAGUGGGGAAUUUUGGACAAUGGGCGCAAGCCUGAUCCAGCAAUGCCGCGUGCAGGAAGAAGGCCUUCGGGUUGUAAACUGCUUUUGUACGGAACGAAACGGUCCUGGUUAAUACCUGGGGCUAAUGACGGUACCGUAAGAAUAAGCACCGGCUAACUACGUGCCAGCCGCCGCAGUAACAC
rnacentral:rRNA from 1 species